GGAACAGAUCUAGAAUUUUCUAGGAAGCCAGUCUAAGCAAGGCUCUAAGAAAAGUCACUGAAAAUGUCAGCCCAGCCAACAGAGAAAGGCUCGGAGAGCAGCUAAGACAUGGCAUAUACAUUUUCAUCUAUUCAAUCUGACCCUGGGCCCACUGCCAUAAUCUUUUUUAAGGGAUGAGGUAUUAGAGCUGGACUGAACUGAGGCCCAGCUCCAAGAGAAGUUGCCAACAGCAGUCAUUGGGAACUUUUACAAGCUAUUGUAGUAAAAGGUUUAAGGGGAGGCUAUGAUGCAAGGAACUGAAGAGUGAAGAGAAAAAGAGUUGUGAGAAGGAAGGGAUUUGAAGAGAUUGGGUGUUCACUGGAGGAAGAUGUAUAGCACCCGAAAUGGAGAACCAAGAAAGAGGGAAUACCUAACGGAGCAAUGGUCUCACAUGCAGGAUGCAGUCUCCAGGAAUUAUCCUUAAAGGGAGUUGCUAUUUCUUUUUUCAAACCAAUAGAGAAGGCGGUGUAAAAGGACAAAAUAUAAAUAAACUUGGAAUUAAAUAGAAAAGGAAGUUAAGAGCACUGCUACCUAAUAAACACAAAAUAGCUACAAUUGAGGAUCGACUGUGUUCUAAGCUCUUUGAACACAUCAUGUAAUUGGAUUUUCCCAACAAUCCUAUGAAGUAAGGAAGGUUUUCAAAACAAGGGAAAAAAACGUUUAGAAAGAUUAAGUCAACUAGCCAGGGUCACGCAGAUGGUUGCUGACAGAGCCCACUGUUACACAGUAAAGGGGGAAAUCAUGAGUGAUAUUAAGACUCUCCUCCCUACUUGUUAAAGUAAAAGCAAGAAUUUCAGCAGUUCUGAGGGCCUCGUCUGUACCACAAAAGUUUUGCCUCUGCUGGCCACUCCAGAUCUUGUGCUGAUCUUCUCAUCCUAGAGGUCUCACUGCCUCUGUGUCCUGAAGCAGACAUACCCUAGGCCUUCUGAGAUAAACACACAAUCUCCUGCCUGCUCUACAUCAGGCAGUCUGAAGGCAGAGAGGACCUGCAGAUACUUGAAAGAAACAGCUCAUCUGCUUUGGGAACCAGGGAAAUUCAUGCCACACUUCCAGGAUCACUGGUCUCAGGAGGAUUUAACUCAAGCUUGGAGUAAGAGUUGACAUCCACAAUGUCAUCAUCAUCUAAUUCUGUUUCCUCUUUCCCUGCCUUCCUUUGUCCUAGAAGCAUUCUGUGAUGACUAACAAACUGAUUUAUUCUGAUUAAAAAUAGUAGCUAUCA
rnacentral:lncRNA from 1 species